rnacentral:rRNA from 1 species
UGAGCAAUCUGCCCUUCUCAUCGGAAUAAGCGUUGGAAACGACGUCUAAUGCCGAAUACGACCUCCUUUCGCAUGAUCGGAGGUGGAAAGCUCCGGCGGAGAAGGAUGAGCUCGCGGCCUAUCAGCUAGUUGGUGUGGGUAAUGGCCCACCAAGGUGACGACGGAUAACCGGCCUGAGAGGGCGACCGGUCACACGUGGGACUGAGACACCGGCCCAGACCUCCGUACGGGAGCA